CGACGGGUGAGUAACGCGUAUGCAACUUACCUAUCAGAGGGGGAUAACCCGGCGAAAGUCAGACUAAUACCGCAUGAAGCAGGGGCCCCGCAUGGGGAUAUUUGCUAAAGAUUCAUCGCUGAUAGAUAGGCAUGCGUUCCAUUAGGCAGUUGGCGGGGUAACGGCCCACCAAGCCGACGAUGGAUAGGGGUUCUGAGAGGAAGGUCCCCCACAUUGGUACUGAGACACGGACCAA
rnacentral:rRNA from 1 species